rnacentral:tRNA from 1 species
GGCGGCAUAGCUCAGCUGGCUAGAGCACUCGGUUCAUACCCGGGGUGUCACAGGUUCAAAUCCGGUUGCCGCUACCA